GACGAACGCUGGCGGCGUGCUUAACACAUGCAAGUCGAACGGAAAGGCCUCUUUCGGGGGGUACUCGAGUGGCGAACGGGUGAGUAACACGUGAGUAACCUGCCCUUGACUUUGGGAUAACUUCAGGAAACUGGGGCUAAUACCGGAUAGGAGCUCCUGCUGCAUGGUGGGGGUUGGAAAGUUUCGGCGGUUGGGGAUGGACUCGCGGCUUAUCAGCUUGUUGGUGGGGUAGUGGCUUACCAAGGCUUUGACGGGUAGCCGGCCUGAGAGGGUGACCGGCCACAUUGGGACUGAGAUACGGCCCAGACUCCUACGGGAGGCAGCAGUGGGGAAUAUUGCACAAUGGGUGGAAGCCUGAUGCAGCAACGCCGUGUGCGGGAUGACGGCCUUCGGGUAGUAAACCGCUUUCGCUCAUGACGAAGCUUUGUGUGACGGUAGUGGGUAAAGAAGCACCGGCUAACUACGUG
rnacentral:rRNA from 1 species